AUUCAGAAACGAUGUCAGACCAAGUUAAUAGCAGAUCAUCCAAUCGCGUUAAAAAAAAUCGCUGAUAAAAAAUGUUCCUCUUUUUUCUUUUUUUCAGGCAUGUAAUGGGUAAUUUCUUAAUAUAUUGAUAUGCCUGAGAUGAACGGCUCAGAAAAUAGCAGUGAUCGAAUACCAUCAUUUGGAGUGUAUACGAGAUGUCAAUGCCCCAAAUCAUAAAUAGUGCAAUAAAAAUAUUUCUACCGUUUCGAACUUCAUACUUCAAACAGCCAGCGAUUUCUGCUAUAAAAAUAAUGAAAUUUCAGCAAAGAAAUAGACUACUAUGUCGUAAUGGUAAUUGCUUGCUUCCUGUUUUAUUCAUUAUUCCGCUACACUACAUUACUAAGGUGAUUUAAAACUCUUGGGCAUAACUUUAAGGGGAGAUAUAGCGUACCUACACAAGCACUUUUCUUCAUGUACACAAUGUCUGAAAUUGUACACGAGGCGAAUGCCCAAUCUGAAAACAGCUGACAGUUGAAUAUUUGAAGGUAACUGUGCAGUGAGGUCUUAUUCAGCUGAGUUCAGGGCGGCCCGGCUCUCAGGUGCUAAGUGAAAACGUAUAAAGAUUGGAUACUACAAUUCCCGACAGGUCAAAAACUCCCAUUGUUUGAAAACACAGACGCCUAGCUGGUAUAGUGGUUAGUACGCUGAAUGACGUACUGAUGUGCCCGGGUUCGAAUCCCAGAAAAAACAUCGAUGUUUUUAAGCAUAUAGUAGCUAUGCGGCAAGGAGCGCUCAAAAUACAGGCCGUGCCGAAAGUCCGUUCAAGAGGUGCUGAGAGUCCUUUCAAGAGUUGCCAUUUGAAAUUCUAUAAUCAUUAACUUACCUUUCAAAUUACAACUGUAAUUGUAUAAUAAAAUGAAAGAGCGAUAAGUACACUUCUCAGUAAUUUAUAUUCUCCUUGUUACAUUUUUAAUAUUACGUUAAACAGUUAUAAUGCAAUAUUUAAUUUAUGAUACAUAAAAUUCAUAAAUUUUAUGAGCAUUUGUACUAUUACUAUAUUAAAGGCAUUUCUAAAAUGAUAUCUUAGGUAACUCGGUGCCACACUUCUACCAGAUAAGGAAGGCAUCUGU